UAGACUUGGCUCAGACAGAGCAGAGUGCAAGACUUUUAAUCUCAGGUUUGUGGGUUCAAGCCCCACAUCGGGCAAAA